rnacentral:rRNA from 1 species
AUUGAACGCUGGCGGCAUGCCUUACACAUGCAAGUCGAACGGCAGCGGGGGAGAAGCUUGCUUUUCCUGCCGGCGAGUGGCGAACGGGUGAGUAAUACAUCGGAACGUGCCCUGUCGUGGGGGAGAACUAGUCGAAAGAUUAGAUAAUACCGCAUACGACCUGAGGGUGGAAGUGGGGGACAGCACGGCGUCAUGAUAUAGGAGCGGCCUAUGGCUGAUUAGCUAGUGGGUGGGGUGAAGGCCUACCAAGUCGACGAUCAGUAGCUGGUCUGAGAGGACGAUCAGCCACACUGGGACUGAGACACGGCCCAGACUCCUACGGGAGGCAGCAGUGGGGAAUUUUGGACAAUGGGCGAAAGCCUGAUCCAGCAAUGCCGCGUGUGUGAAGAAGGCCUUCGGGUUGUAAAGCACUUUUGUCCGGAAAGAAAUGGCUCUGGUUAAUACCUGGGGUCGAUGACGGUACCGGAAGAAUAAAGACCGGCUAACUACGUGCCAGCCGCCGCCGUAA